GAUGAACGCUAGCGGCAGGCUUAAUACAUGCAAGUCGUGGGGCAGCAGGUCUGUAGCAAUACAGAUGCUGGCGACCGGCAAACGGGUGCGGAACACGUACACAACUUUCCUUUAAGUGGGGAAUAGCCCAGAGAAAUUUGGAUUAAUACCCCGUAACAUAGUGAAAAGGCAUCUUUUUAUUAUUAUAGCAGCAAUGCGCUUAAUGAUGGGUGUGCGUCUGAUUAGGUAGUUGGCGGAGUAAUAGCCCACCAAGCCUACGAUCAGUAACUGGUGUGAGAGCACGACCAGUCACACGGGCACUGAGACACGGGCCCGACUCCUACGGGAGGCAGCAGUAAGGAAUAUUGGGCAAUGGACGCAAGUCUGACCCAGCCAUGCCGCGUGGAGGAUGAAGGUCCUCUGGAUUGUAAACUUCUUUUAUCUGGGAAGUAAUCCAUCUUUUCUUGGGUGGUUGACGGUACCAGAUGAAUAAGCACCGGCUAACUCCGUGCCAGCAGCCGCCGUAA
rnacentral:rRNA from 1 species